GGCUCAGUAGGUUGGUCGUGCCACCGGUACGUACUGGUCUCACCGAUUCCUCCUUCCUGAAGAACCGUAAUGCCAUUAAUUUGGUGUUGCGGGGAAACAGGACUGUUACUUUGAAAAAAUUAGAGUGUUUAAAGCAAGCUAACGCUUGAAUACAUUAGCAUGGAAUAAUGAAAUAGGACGAUCGAUCCUAUUUUGUUGGUUUCUAGGAUUGACGUA
rnacentral:rRNA from 1 species